AGCGAACGCUAGCGGCAGGCUUAACACAUGCAAGUCGAGCGGGCCUUUCGGGGUCAGCGGCGGACGGGUGAGUAACGCGUGGGAACGUGCCCUCUGGCUCGGAAUAACUCAGGGAAACUUGAGCUAAUACCGGGUACGCCCUUUUGAGGAAAGGCUUGCUGCCGGAGGGUGGGCCCGCGUCGGAUUAGCUAGUUGGGGAGGUAACGGCUCACCACGGCGACGAUCAGUAGCUGGUCUGAGAGGAUGAUCAGCCACACUGGGGCUGAGACACGGCCCAGACUCCUACGGGAGGCAGCAGUGGGGAAUAUUGGACAAUGGGCGCAAGCCUGAUCCAGCCAUGCCGCGUGAGUGAUGAAGGCCUUAGGGUUGUAAAGCUCUUUUAUCCGGGACGAUAAUGACGGUACCGGAGGAAUAAGCCCCGGCUAACUUCGUG
rnacentral:rRNA from 1 species